rnacentral:rRNA from 1 species
ACUCGAGUGGCGAACGGGUGAGUAACACGUGGGUGAUCUGCCCUGCACUUCGGGAUAAGCCUGGGAAACUGGGUCUAAUACCGGAUAGGAGCCAUUUUUAGUGUGAUGGUUGGAAAGUUUUUUCGGUGUAGGAUGAGCUCGCGGCCUAUCAGCUUGUUGGUGGGGUAAUGGCCUACCAAGGCGGCGACGGGUAGCCGGCCUGAGAGGGUGUACGGCCACAUUGGGACUGAGAUACGGCCCAG